CCUACGGGGUGCAGCAGUGGGGAAUAUUGGACAAUGGGCGAAAGCCUGAUCCAGCCAUGCCGCGUGUGUGAAGAAGGCCUUCGGGUUGUAAAGCACUUUCAGUGGGGAAGAAAGCCUUGGGGCUAAUACCCUCGAGGAAGGACAUCACCCACAGAAGAAGCACCGGCUAACUCCGUGCCAGCAGCCGCGGUAAUACGGAGGGUGCGAGCGUUAAUCGGAAUUACUGGGCGUAAAGCGCGCGUAGGCGGUCUGAUAAGCCGGUUGUGAAAGCCCCGGGCUCAACCUGGGAACGGCAUCCGGAACUGUCAGGCUAGAGUGCAGGAGAGGAAGGUAGAAUUCCCGGUGUAGCGGUGAAAUGCGUAGAGAUCGGGAGGAAUACCAGUGGCGAAGGCGGCCUUCUGGACUGACACUGACGCUGAGGUGCGAAAGCGUGGGUAGCAAACAGGAUUAGAUACCCCAGAGUC
rnacentral:rRNA from 1 species